GACGAACGCUGGCGGCGUGCUUAACACAUGCAAGUCGAACGGAAAGGCCCUGCUUUUGUGGGGUGCUCGAGUGGCGAACGGGUGAGUAACACGUGAGUAACCUGCCCUUGACUUUGGGAUAACUUCAGGAAACUGGGGCUAAUACCGGAUAGGAGCUCCUGCUGCAUGGUGGGGGUUGGAAAGUUUCGGCGGUUGGGGAUGGACUCGCGGCUUAUCAGCUUGUUGGUGUGGUAGUUGCUUACCAAGGCUUUGACGGGUAGCCGGCCUGAGAGGGUGACCGGCCACAUUGGGACUGAGAUACGGCCCAGACUCCUACGGGAGGCAGCAGGGGGGAAUAUUGCACAAUGGGCGGAAGCCUGAUGCAGCAACGCCGCGUGCGGGAUGACGGCCUUCGGGGUGUAAACCGAUUUCGCAUGUGACGAAGAGUGAGUGACGGUAAUGGGUAAAGAAGCAACGGCUAACUACGUG
rnacentral:rRNA from 1 species